UGCAGUCAAGUCAAAUUCAGCUUCCAUUCUAUAAUGGUGGGAGCUGGCCCAGAUGGCUGCCACAGCAAGGGGGCCCUGUGGCCCCUGCACUGGGACUUAGGGAUAUGUUUGGCUGCAGAAAAAA
ensembl:snoRNA